rnacentral:lncRNA from 1 species
CUCGUAGAUCUAGCACGAGGAUAAUGUUAACGAAAUUGUGUAAAAUCGACUAAGCAAAUGAAACUCAAGUGUGAGGAUUGAAAAGCUGGAUUUUGGAGGCGAGUCUUAUAUCGUAAAAAUAAAUUUUGGAAUAGUGAAUUUUUGGAGAAUGCGUGGUUGAAAAGUAAGAAAAAUGAUUUAUGUACAAUAUUAUUUUAUUAAGAGAA